rnacentral:pre_miRNA from 1 species
AACCUACUCCCUUCGUUCGGAAUUACUUGUCUCAGAAAUGGAUGUAUCUAGAACUAAAAUACGUCUAGAUACAUCCAUUUCUGCGACAAGUAAUUCCGAACGGAGGGAGUAGUUU